AGUGGUGAUUUAGAGGACUAAAUUUGAAAUUUUAAAAAUAUCACUAAUGAUAUAGUAAUGUAAAGAAAAAAAAAAUAAAACAAGACAAAGGUCAAACUAUCACAUCAGUAAUGGGGUCCAUAUGAUAUCACAUUAUUAGUGAUGCAUUAGUGAUGCUAAAUUAGUGGUAUGAAAUAUAUAUAUAUUUUUUUGUUAUAAGAAAAUCUUCUCAUUCUCCUGCAGAUUUAAGACAGCGCCUCUUUGAAGAGAUCACCAAAGUGUCUGUUGUCCGUCCUGCAAUGAAGCAUUUUGUAAAGCAUUUUUUUUUUUUUUAAAGCAUUUUAUAAAGCAUUUUAUAAAGGAGGAAGGGUAUGGCGCGAACUUUAACGUUGUUUCUCGAGCAAAACUCAGCUGGGGCGCCUCGGGAAUAUUCAUGGUUCAGAUCCUCUAACGAACAACAAGAAUUCGGUUCGCAUACUUGACAUUUUUGCUACGACAAAUCGCUGUGAACCGAACAGGAUUUUAACCGGAAAAGAUUAAAGUUAGAAUUCCAGUGGCUACUAGUAUAGCUGCUGGAAGUGGCAAACUGAAUUUUAAAGAGAGGGUCUGCUGGGGACAAGGUCGCAGACAAACUUCUUGGGUUUGGCCUUUCAGAGAUUUGAACUGAAGGAGCUUUCUUGGUAGCCACUGGUGAUGGAAUGGCAAUGGCCCAUCGAGCCCAAGAUGCGAUUUCCAACAUAGAAUUUGUUCAGUUCCACCCAACUGCUUUGGCCAAUGAAGGCCUUCCCAUCACACCAACCAAGACUCGGGAAAAUGCUUUUUUGAUCACUGAAGCUGUCAGACGUGGUGGAGGAUUACUCUACAAUCUAGGCAUGGAAAGAUUCAUGCCCCUCUACGAUGAGAGGGCGGCGCUUGCUUCUAGGGAUGUGGUAGCUAUAAGUAUUGAUGAUCAACUCAAGAAACGCAACGAGAAAUAUGUGCUACUUGAUAUAAGCCACAAACCUAGAGAAAAAAUUCUCUCAGUUCCCCAACAUAGCUUCCGAGUGCCUAAAAUAUGGCCUAGAUAUAACCCGUCAACCAACUCCAGUGCUUCCCACUGCUCAUUACAUAUGUGGAGGAGUUUGUGCAGGGCUACAAGGUGAGACAAAUGUGCACGAUUUAUACGUGGUUGGUGUGGUUGCUUGCACAGGUUUGCAUGGAGCUAACCGACUUGCUAGCAACUCAUUGCUCAAUGCACUAGUUUUCACUCGAAGAUCUGUGCAGCGUUCAAUAGAUCACAUGAAGAGCUCUAAAAUUGACCGUAGUGCUUCAGAUUGGUGGGGUCGACCAGUUGUGCCCAUGUCGCUUGGAAGAGAUGUAUUGGGUAAAAUUGUAAGGAUAACGAGGCAGGUGAGGAAGGAAUUACAGUCAAUUAUGUGGAUUGGUUUUUGUUUUGGGGCAUUGCUAGUUUGGGCAUGAAAUUAUUUAAAUUUGAGGAUUGACUGUCCAAACUUGUAGGAGAUCCCAAAUUCAGUGCAUUAAUCGACUUCCCCAUCAACAGCCACAAUUCCAUUGAACAACCCCAUCAAAUUCCCCCAGAACAAUCAGAGCCGUCCAAUCCUCAACUAACUGAUUCACUUGAACCAAUUGAGAAGCGAGAGAGCCGAAGAAGAAGUUGUGCACCCUUUGUGGAAGACAAGCCUCUGCUCCUACUUCCGGCAAUCGAAUGGGUUGUGCAGUCACGACGACACUUGCUGGUACACCCACAGCGAGGAGGAGCUCCAAAUCUAACUCGAUAACAUGUGGGACCCGAGCUCCGAGUAGGCCAAGAAGGUGUUGAUGACCGAGAAUUGAUUUGUUUCUUUCUCUACAACACUUCUGUAUCUCUCUCUCUUUCUCUCCUUGCCCAGAUUGGUUUCUUAGAAAAAUUUUGUAUUUCAAGUUUUUUUUUUUUCCUUGGAAAAUGUCUUUUGCUUAUUUGAUUUUUGGUAGCUUAAUUUUGUGCAGAUAAUGGAUCAUCUGUGUAUGUAGGUGUGUGUUUGAGAAUGAAAAUUUUCAAUAGAUCAAUUAUUUUUUUACCUGUUUAGAUCUCUUGUUGAACAUAUCUGUUUGGAUAAAAAUUUGUUGUUUCUGUU